rnacentral:rRNA from 1 species
AACGAACGCUGGCGGCGUGGAUAAGACAUGCAAGUCGAACGGGACAGACCGAGUAGCAAUAUUUGGAAUGUUCAGUGGCGAACGGGUGCGUAACACGUGGAUAACAUUCCGGAAAGCGGGGAAUAGCCCAGGGAAACUUGGAUUAAUACCGCAUGUGGCCGCAAGGCUAAAGACGGGGACCGCAAGGCCUGUCACUUUCCGAUUGGUCCGCGGCCUAUCAGCUAGUUGGCGGGGUAAUGGCCCACCAAGGCUACGACGGGUAGCUGGUCUUAGAGGACGACCAGCCAGAAUGGAACUGAGACACGGUCCAGACACCUACGGGUGGCAGAAGUCGAGAAUCUUUCACAAUGGGGGCAACCCUGAUGGAGCGACGCCGCGUGGAGGAUAAGGUCUUCGGAUUGUAAACUCCUGUCAUGCGAGAACAAGGUACUCAGGCUAAUAACCUGAUUGUUUGAUGGUACCGCAAGAGGAAGAGACGGCUAACUCUGUGCCAGCCGCCGCCGUAACAC